AUUUAAAUGCUUAUUAUGGCCUAAAACCUGGAAAACCUAUCAUAUUACAAUAAAAGGAGUUAUUUCCCAGUGUACUUGCAGUUCAGCUUUGGGCAGAUCAACAAGCUUAGUGGACACUAGGUUACCUAUAACACAAAUCAUUCUUAAACAGCUGAUAGCUUCUUUACAAUAUACAACAAGUUUAUAUUUUGUACAGGUACUUAUGAAAAGUGUGUAUUUAGUGGCAUUUUCACUGUUUUCUUAGGAUUGCAAAAUUUACAGCUUCAAAAGACAGAAAUUGUCAUUUAUUGACAGUAUACAAUUUGUACAUUUUUAGAAAAUAUUUCAGACUGCCCAAUAGGGUUGGAGUUGACUAUGAAAACUUUCAAACAUGGUAAAGGUCAAUUUUACACUUUGCAUGUGAAAAAUAACUGCAAAGAUAACACAAUAUGUCUUGUUCAGGCCCUAUGGUCAUAUUUUCAAUUAUAAAAACCAACUUCUGGUCCUCUUUUUACUUUCAUGGAUGGGUCACCAGUGUCAUGGAAAUAUUGUACAGAUCAGUUAUGUUUGUCAUUGAAUUGGUGUGGGGUAGAUUGUAAAUGAUAUAAAGGUCACAGCUUUAGAAUCUGAGCAGCCACAACGGCUUUUUCCAAUGGAGUUCUAGAGCAAAAAAUUAAAGCAAUGGGGCUGUGGGUCAUCAGACGCUUUCAAAAAGUGCAUUCGAAUCCCCUUUGUAAGCCUUUGACUGCUCACGAGGUGAGGUUGAGGUAAUGAGUUAUGACCAUGGUGACAAGAGCAUCUGGUCAGAUUGUAAUUCAUGACAUUUCAAAUCUACUCUGAGUUAAGUUCCUAUAAAAUAGUGAGUAAUUUGUUUACUUGUUUGGUUGAUUGCAAUCAAGUGUUUUAAUUACUGGUGUCACAAAAUGAUACCUGAUCAUGGUGACAGGAGCAUCUGGUCAGAUUGUAAUUCAUGACAUUUCAAAUCUACUUUGAGUUGAGUUCAUAUAAAAUAGUGAGAAAUUUGUUUACUUGUUUGGUUGAUUGCAAUCAAAUGUUUUAAUUAGUGGUGUCACAAAAUGAUACCUGAUCAUGGUGACAGGAGCAUCUGGUCAGAUUAUAAUUCAUGACAUUUCAAAUCUACUUUGAGUUGAGUUCAUAUAAAAUAGUGAGAAAUUUGUUUACUUGUUUGGUUGAUUGCAAUCAAAUGUUUUAAUUACUGGUGUCACAAAAUGAUACCUGAUCAUGGUGACAGGAGCAUCUGGUCAGAUUAUAAUUCAUGACAUUUCAAAUCUACUUUGAGUUGAGUUCAUAUAAAAUAGUGAGAAAUUUGUUUACUUGUUUGGUUGAUUGCAAUCAAAUGUUUUAAUUACUGGUGUCACAAAAUGAUACCUGAUCAUGGUGACAGGAGCAUCUGGUCAGAUUAUAAUUCAUGACAUUUCAAAUCUACUUUGAGUUGAGUUCAUAUAAAAUAGUGAGAAAUUUGUUUACUUGUUUGGUUGAUUGCAAUCAAAUGUUUUAAUUACUGGUGUCACAAAAUGAUACCUGAUCAUGGUGACAGGAGCAUCUGGUCAGAUUAUAAUUCAUGACAUUUCAAAUCAACUUUGAGUUGAGAUCCUAUAUAAAAUAUUGAGUAAUUUACUUGGUUGAUGUCUAUCAAGUGUGUUAAUUACUGGUGUCACAAAUUAUACCCAAUCAUGGUGACAAGAGCAUCUGAUUGUAAAAUAAAUAUCAAACCAGUAAUAGAGAAUAUGAAAGUUUGGAAAUUGUCAAAAUAUGUGAACAAGUUUGACACAUUAUUUGUUUCAGCAAAGAGGACAUUGGCUUAGAAAAAACAUUUUCAAUCAUGAUGACAGGAGCAUCUGGUUGUAUCAAGAAGUAGUAAAGUUUUGAUGUAAUUAUGUAUCUAACAAACUUUGCGUACAAGGCAUAAUAAUAUGGUAUUGUUUUACAAGAGUUGAAAUAGUUUCUUUGUAUGUUGGUAAUGUGUUAUUUUUCAUUGUUUGUAUCCAGUUUGUAUGAAUUUUAGGGAUACUUCUAUUGUAGUAAGAUUAAGACUCGCACUUAGGGUUGGGUGGGGAUUACUGCUGAUGACAGUUCAGAUCUGCCUGUCAUUGGCAGUAAGUGGCAUUUUUACCUUACCCCACCUUUGAUGUAAAAGUUUUAUACAGUAAUGUUUUGAUCUAUUUGGAAGUUGCAUGUAGUGAUAUUGGUAUCACUGCAAGGUUUAUAAAUGUAAAUCUAUCAAACUACAUUUUCAUUUUUGUAAUAGUUUUACAAAAUUGUCAUUUGAUAAUAAAUGACCUUUUUCAACUUCAAACGGUGUUGUGUUUGAGUCAGAUAAUGUAAUAUUACAUCAAACAGAGCAACCUAUAGUGCGAGUAUCAGGAAGAUGGGCAUAAAUGCUAUUUAUGUUCAUAAAUGAUUUUAUGCCCAUUUCUUGUGUAUUGAAAGUGGGACAAGCGAGAUAACUCUAAUACUUUUGUGCAGUCUUGUUUUUCCAACAGCCGCAGUAUCAGAUUGAGUACAAUCAGUGGCAGCGCCAUAUUUGUAUGGAAAUACAAGUUUAAUUUUGAACAACCCUCCCACCUCUCCCUUAUAGUUAAAAAUUUAUAGUGUUCUUAAUUGAUGUGAAUAAUUUGAUAAUAAUUUUCCAUAUUUCUUUUUUCAGUAGGUAAGGCAUUUUUACCUUACCCCACCUUUGAUGUAAAAGUUUUAUACAGUAAUGUUUUGAUCUAUUUGGAAGUUGCAUGUAGUGAUAUUGGUAUCACUGCAAGGUUUAUAAAUGUAAAUCUAUCAAACUACAUUUUCAUUUUUGUAAUAGUUUUACAAAAUUGUCAUUUGAUAAUAAAUGACCUUUUUCAACUUCAAA